rnacentral:ncRNA from 1 species
AAGAACAAAGAUAAAAACACGUCCCGGUAGGUAGUCCGGGAGCAGCGUAGAUAAACGCUGUCAGUAACCUGCCUCCUUUGGUUGUCCAUUCUUUGUGUAUUAAAG